rnacentral:lncRNA from 1 species
UUCUGAUUUUAGGAAGAGUUUUAAAGCAUUGCAGACUAUAGUUAAUGCAGUAUUAGCUUUACUUACUGUAUUCUGUCAGUAUAUUCAGAUCAUAUGAAGCUUUUCUCCACUGUCCUCUUCUUCAUAUUCAUUCAGACUUUUCCUCUUGUGAGUCCACACAGCCCUAGAUGUACUGUACUAUUGUACGCAGGUGUGUACGCUUCAAUAUAACUUUUAAUUCUCCACUUCCGUGGUUCAUGUCAUCAGCUUGUUGACAGGACUUUUAUUUUGGUCUUGCAGUGUGACGUCAUAGGGCUGCUGCAGGAGUCGUCUGACGAGAGGACAAAAACGUAAAGGAACACUCCUUAGGAAACCACUUUUAUUGAGAUGGCGUUCAUUAAAGAAGAGAUUAAAGAAGAGUUUGAAGACGUGGGGAUCAAAGAAACCUUCAGUGUGAAAAAAGAAGAUCCCGAUGAACAAACAGACAGGAUUCAUCAUCAGCGUGUUCAUGUGCGUUCUGCAGACAGAGCGAGACCGACAGACAACCAUCAACAGCCUGGCAUUCCUCCUCAACAACCCAAACCAAAAGUACCAUUCAGAAGAAAGACUCUGUUCGAAAAGAUCUCCGACAAAAAACGGCUGGAUCAUAUAAGAUCGAAAACCCGGAUUAAUAUCGGCGCUUCUUUUCAUCGCUGGAGACAACUACAGCACUCAAUGGGGCUGAAAAAUGAUGCCAUGGUUGCAGAAUUUCUCUUGGACAGGUUGGGAUUUUUGUUUUUUUUAGAAAUACUUAGCUUAGUUUGUUUACAAAUUUUAAAUUAACUUCAGCAGCAACAUGUAAUCGGGUAUUGUUUUUGUCUUUUCAUAAGUUACGAGCGAACUACAGCAUCCACAGCUUUACUGUAUGGAACGUAAAGCCGCCACCGCCAGAUGAGUCAAUGGUUGAUUCUAAGCCUUGCGGCUAAUUGUGAGUAAAUUGAAUUUGUGAAUUUAAAUAUUGCAGAAUUAUUAUAUGGUAUUAUGCAUGUCGUUCUUGGCAUGAAAGAUGUUUUUUUGCUUGAUAUUAUGACAAUGUUUACAAUAGUGCUGUCAAAAAAACGUACAUUUUAAAUAUUCGUCGAAUUUCUUAUGCAAAAACCUGCAGUGUUUAGAUGCGAGACAUGAUUAUGUUGUCGUACUGCGGCAUGUUUUCCCGUAACAUUAACUAUUGCCUAAAGAAUUGGAAUUCUGCUUAUAUUUAAGAAAAAUUUAGAAAAAAACUUAAUAUUCUCAUUCCUGGUUUACCAAACCACUGUCGCUACUGGCUUGCUUGGUUUGAGACUUGUGGAGCUGCGCAUUGAUGAAUUUGCUUUCAGCAGUGAACAAUAAACCACACUGAACUGAAUUGAACUCUGAAAACGGGACUGACACAGUUUCAAUUGACUAGAACCUCUUUGUUAAGCUGCUUUGACUCAAUCUACAUCGUAAAACCGCUAGAGAAAUAAAGAUGAACUGAAUUGAAAUGGAAGAAAUACAACAACCAUACUGGUUAUGAAGACAGUUCUGUCAUUUAUUCAGUGCCCAAUGCUGCUUGUUUCAUAUCCGCUAACACAUUAACAUGCGUUCAGGAGGCGUGGCUUCGGACGGCAAUUUGCAUAAAGUGUGGGAUGUACACUGUCAGUGCUAUCAGGCUAAAGCAUUUUCCAAGUGUCCUUUACGUAUGG